AGCAUUGACUCUGCAGAAGCUUCUAGAAAGCCUGUUCCUUGGGACCCUGUGGAGGCUGACAGGGGAAAGCUGUGCGGAGCCCGGUUCCCAGAAUGCCCUAAGAUCUCAGGAAAUCAGGGCCAAAAUGGAAAAUGUAGGACCUAUAGAAGGAGCGAGGCUGAAGAUCAGAACCGCAGAUGGCAAUGGAUUGGAGAUGGCAAGCGGGCCUGGGAGGCAGAGAGCGCGUGCAUCCUCAAGCCAAAAGAAAAGAAAAGAAAUAAAAUAAGAAAGAGUCUUCUCAGAAGGCCUUUACAGUCACAAGAAUCAGCAUAGCCAGCCAUCGAUGAGAGGGGAAGAAACAGGACAAACGUGACCAAAGCCAGACCCAUGGUUUGGUGCCUUGUCACCAGCUACACAAAUCGCUGGGCCUCAGAUUCAGAUGUCUGCGUAC